ensembl:lncRNA
AUCGGGCAGGACACCUGUCACAGGAGGGUCUUCAGAAGAGAAAGGAAGGAGAGGGUCAGAGACUGACCUUCCUAUAUUCUAUGGCCUGUUUCAGGAGAGAAUGGUGGGAGAAGAAAUAGCAGAGCAGAUGGCAGUCCAACAUAAAAAGAAGGAUAUGUCACCAUCUCCAACAGUGGCACAUGGACAAGAGAUCGCAGUGUCUGGGAACCACAUGGCUACUGUGGAAGCAUCACUGUCCAAUAGAACUUUCCAGGUUGGUAGAACUGUUCUACAUCUACACUGUCUAGUACAAUGGCCACUAGACACAUGAGCACUUGAGUGCUUGAAAUGAGGUAAUGAGACUGAAGAACUGAAAGUUUAAUUUUAUUUCAUUUUAAUUACAUACAAUUUAAAUUCGAGUAGCCACAUGAGGCUGGCGGCUUAUGUAUUGAACAAGCAGCUCGCAAGAACAAAUCUCGACUUUGUCACUUAUGGGGUAAAUUUCUAGACAUUUUCAAGCCUUGGUUCCCUCAUCUGUAUUUCUUGUGUGCUGGCACCAGAAUUAUCAUUGAGACAGAACUGGCAUUGUUUGAAAAAAUACCUUGAUAGGUAAUUUGGCCAUCAAAACCUAGGCUUCAGAGAAGGGUCUGGAGAGGAAAUGCAGAACUCAAGAAGGACCAAGUCAUUUUCUAUAAGAAUAUGGGAGAAAUUAUUCAUUAAUUGUUAGCCCUGAGUGAGAAGGAGUAAGGGAAGAAAGGGAAAGAAGAGCCAGUAAGAAAGUUUGGGAGCUACCUGGAAUGUUAGGGACUCUUAUGAACAGGGAGAGCUAAUAUUAGUUUUCAGUUACUUGUGUUACUGUUGUAAACCCAUGCUGUCUUUCUAAACCCUUGGUCAAAUUUGCUGUAAACAUAAAUGUCUUUGUUGGGUGUGUGUGUGUGUGUGUGUGUGUCUGUGUGUGUGUAUGUAUUAAGUAAAGGGAAUAAGCCCAAUGUGUACACUAGAAUUGAAUGGAAAAGGGAAAACAUGGAAUGAUUAGACUGUUAAUAAGCUGAAGAAAUGCAGUGAAAGCAGGAGUUAAGAGGCAGAGGAAACCAUGACAAAGUAAGCCCUUAAGAAAGUUGUAGCUAACAUAUGUUUUUUGUAAAAUGGGGGUUCACACCAAGCUCAUAUAAAUCUCAAAAGGAAGGAUCAGCACAACUAAUACUUACAUGUAAACUGGAGACAGUAACACCUACUUGAGGGAUCGUUGUGACGAUAAAAUGAGAUAAUGCUUGUGAAGUGCUUAUACAUAGUAAAAGCUUAAUAAAACUUUAGUUUCAUGGUUUUGAAAUGAAUACACGGCUGAUCCUUGAACAACGUGAGGGUUAAGGCACCGACCCUCACUUGUGGUCAAAAAUUCAUAUAUAACUUUUGCCUCGCCCAAAACUGAUCUACUGAUAGCCUUACCAAUAGCAUAAACUGUAGAUUAACACAUAUUUUGUAUGUUAAAUGUAUUCCAUGCUGUAUUCUUACAAUAAAGUAAACUAGAGAAAAGAAAAUGUUAUUAAGAAAAUCAUAAGGAAGAGAAAAUAUAUUUACCAUUCAUUAAGUGGAAGUGGAUCAUCACAAAGAUCAUCCUCUUCUUCACAUUGAGUCGGCUGAGGAGGAGGAGGGAGAGGAGGAGUUGGUCUUGGUGUCUCAGGGGUGACAGAGACAGAAGAAGAUCCACAAAUAAGUGGACGCUUGCAGUUAAAAUCCAUGUUGAUCAAGGGUCUAUUGUAAUACUCUUUU